AACGUAGGUACCGAGCGUUAUCCGGAUUUACUGGGCGUAAAGCGUGUUCAGGCGGUCUAGCAAGUCGGGCAUGAAAUCUCUCGGCUCAACCGGGAGGGGUUGUCCGAUACUGCUGGGCUUGAGGGCAGCAGAGGGUGGUGGAAUUCCGGGUGUAGUGGUGAAAUGCGUAGAUAUCCGGAGGAACACCAGUGGCGAAGGCGGCUCACUGGCCCGGAACUGACGCUGAGGUGCGAAAGCGUGGGGAGCAAACAGG
rnacentral:rRNA from 1 species